rnacentral:lncRNA from 1 species
AUGAAUGUGUGGCAGGGAUCGAAAUCAAGGCUAUAUCAUCUAAAUAGGGAAAUGCAGUCCUUUUUCCUCCAUUUGGAGAUGUGUCUGGUUGUUAGGGUGAGAAACAGUGAAGGACAUGGUGGUCCUCCUGGUCUUCAGAAAUCCACAGAGUCUAAGAGGCCUAGACUUUAUAUGGGUGGAAAUGUAAAUGCCCUUAGACAACAGGAAGUUGCAUCAGGGAAGCCAGAGACAAUUUGGGGUGUGCUACUUAUAUAACCAUAGAUAUUUCUUUUUCUAGUGGAUUUUAUUUACCCCUAUCCUAGUUACUGUUUCAUUUGAGAUAAAAAUUAAAGCAAAUUUGGUUGAUCCAAUCUUUUGAUAGCCACCCCCCUUGGCUCCUUAACAUAAAGAUGAACUGUCAUCCAUUUGGUGGGGUUAGGUGAUUAAAGAAACUUGAGAUACAUAAAUGUAAUGUGAUAUCACUGUCAUUUAAGAAAUGAUAAAAUAUUAAGAAUACUUUUUUCUUUUAAGCAUCUAAAGCUUUUCCCUUCCUUUUGUUAAAAUACAAUUCUUCCUUACAGCUUUAACCAGGUAGGAUCAGGAAAGAUAUAGUAAAGGGAAUUGACUAUUACUAUUAUACACUAUAAAAUACAAGGAAUAGCAGUUGCAUGGGCCUGGUCCAGAAUUCAGCUAAGACUUGAACUUUUAAAGACAAUCUUUUGUAGAAAAAAAAGUUAAUUCUGAUAGUUUAAAGUAGAAAGUGGGUUAGAAUGGAUUAUACCAAUGUCCAUUAUAGAAAAUGGAUAGAUUCCUAAGGGGGAUCCAGGCAAUUAUAUUUAAAAGUAUUACUAGAUUCUUAGUAGUUUUUUGUCAUCAUGAACUUUCUCAAUCAAUGGGAAGAUAAUAUUGAAAAUAUAUAGAGAUAUUAGAGAUGUGACAGGUGAGUAUAGAAAAAAAACCACAACCAUUCUCUCUUCCUUCAAGAUGGAUAUGGAAUAGAAGGGGGUACUACCCAGGAAAAUGUGACGGUCCUCUCAUAGGGAAGCUGCCCCUGUGUACCAGACCACCACACAGAGAGUAUUAGAGGAUUGUCAUGUUUGUCACUUAUGUCUCUAAAGGAAAUGGAAAUAACAGGUGCACUCAGGUUUACAUGGUGUUAGUGGAUAACUUCUUUAAAAUUAUCUUUCCAUCAGUUGAGAAAGUUCAUGAUGACAAAAAACUAGUAGGAUUUCAGGAACAUUUUAAACUAUAAUUGUAUUUUAUUCAUCAUAAUACAUGGUUUAGUUUAGUUUUCUUUUUAGAAAAGAAUAUUGCAGCAGCUGUGUAGAAUGGAUUGUAGAGGGGAGGGAGGAGACAGGUAGACCAAUGAAAAGCUUAGAGCAGUAACCUGGGUGAGAGAUGAUAAGGAUUUAGGGUGAAAAUGUUGUGAGUUGAGAGAAGGGAAAUGAAGGAAGAAAGGCUGUGGGGAUAGAAUGUUGAAUAUGUGAGGUAAAGGCAAGGGAGGUAUUAAGAAUGAUUUUGGGAUUGUAAACCUAGAUGACUAGAAGAAUGAUGACCUCAACAGAAACAGGAAAGGUCAGAAGAGGAAAAUUGUAAAAUUUAGUAGAAUUUUAGAAAUGAGUUUAUAUUCCAAACUUAUGCUGCCUCUGGCUAUCAUAUCUCUACUUGGCAAAUAAAUCAAAUAUUUGUUGAAUGAGGAUGAGGAGAUAUUUAAGUGUCCUUGUUAUGGUCAUUGAUUCAUACUAGUUAUAUUCAUGAGGAUGAGGAGAUAUUUAAGUGUCCUUGUUAUGGUCAUUGAUUCAUACUAGUUAUAUUUCAUUGAGAAAGUAUGUAACCAGCAUCUAUCUUGAAAUCAACACAGCAGAAAUAUGACUUAUGCUUCCUUCCAAGCCUAUAAUUUUAUUGUGAAUUUCCUGUUUCUGUUGGCAGGAAAUAAAGUGAAACAUGGUUAUGGUUGGCUUGGUAGAAGAGACCAUGGAAAGCAGUCAUCCAUCAGGACAGGAGUUCUGGCACUUAAAGGGUUAAGUGCUCUAGGGCAGAGUUUUUUAUAGGAAUGAAUGAUUUCAGGAAGAAGAAAUGGGAAAUUAGUGAGGACAUAGCUAAGGAGUUGGAGGGAUCUAUGCUUUCCUCCCUUUUCUCUCUUAAAGAAAGAGGCAGAGUAGAAAUCCUUAAUCAUGGUGACUACUGAGUCAGCUAGAGAUUGGACUUUCCCCUUUAAUUUCACCUAGCUCUUCCCCUCCUUCACAUAAAAGGGGUAGAAUUUAGCCUCAUAGACUUGUGUUCACAUCCCUUAUGGCAGCAAGACUUCAAUUAGCUCAACUUUCCAUGAAACCUAUGAAGAAUCCCAGAAUCAAGUUUUAAUACCAGGCUUAGGAGAAUUAUAUGAUGAUUCAUAAAGCUAAACAAUAAUUCUUUUUCUUAAUUAAAGCUUUUUAUUUACAAAACAUAUGCAUGGGUAAUUGUGUCCCUCGCAAAAACUUUCUGUUCCAAAUUUUUCCCUCCUUCUCCCCAUCAGCUCCCCUAGAUGGCAGUCCAAUAAUGUUAAAUAUGUUAAAAUAUAUGUUAAAUCUAAUAUAUGUAUACGUAUUUAUACAGUUAUCUUGCUGAACAAGAAAAAUCAGAUCUAGAAAGAAAAAUAAAACUUGAGAAGGAAAACAAAAUGCAAGCAAAUAUCAAUAGAAAGCAUGAAAAUCCUAUGUUGUGAUCCAUACUCAGUUUUCACAGGAUUCUUUUUGGAUGUAUAUGGCUUUCUUCAUCACUGAACAACUGGAACUUGUUUGAAUCAUCUCAUUGUUGACGAGAGCCAUAUCCAUCAGAACUGAUCAUUGUAUGGUCUUCUUGUUGCCAUGUGUAAUGAUCUCCUGGUUCUACUCAAUUCACUCAGCAUCAGUUCAUGUAAGUCUCUCCAGGCCUCUCUGAAAUCAUCUUGCUGGUCGUUUCUUAUAGAACAAUAAUAUUCCAUAACAUUCGUACACCAUAAUUUACUCAGCCAUUCUCCAAUUGAUGGGCAUCCAAUCAGUUUCCCAUUUCUAGCCACUACAAAAAAGACUGCCACAAACAUUUUGGCACAUGUAGGUCCCUUUCCCUCUUUUAAGAUCUCUUUGGGAUAUAAGCCCAGUAGAAACACUGCUGAAUCAAAGGGUAUGGGCAGUUUGAUAACUUUUUGAGCAUAGUUACGAACUGUUGUCCAGAAUGGUUGGAUCCGUUCACAGUCUCACGAACAAUGUAUCAGUGUCCCAGUUUUCCCACAUCCUCUCCAACAUUCUUCCUUAUCUUUUCCUGUCAUCUUAGCCAAUCCGACAGGUGUAAGCCAAACCAUAAUUCAAU